rnacentral:rRNA from 1 species
CCUACGGGUGGCUGCAGUGGGGGAUAUUGCACAAUGGGGGAAACCCUGAUGCAGCGACGCCGCGUGUGGGAAGACGGUCCUCUGGAUUGUAAACCACUGUCCCCAGGGACGAAAAUGACGGUACCUGGGGAGGAAGCUCCGGCUAACUACGUGCCAGCAGCCGCGGUAAUACGUAGGGAGCGAGCGUUGUCCGGAAUUACUGGGUGUAAAGGGCGUGCAGCCGGAGAGACAAGUCAGAUGUGAAAUCCACGGGCUCAACCCGUGAACUGCAUUUGAAACUGUUUCCCUUGAGUGUCGGAGAGGUAAUCGGAAUUCCUUGUGUAGCGGUGAAAUGCGUAGAUAUAAGGAAGAACACCAGUGGCGAAGGCGGAUUACUGGACGAUAACUGACGGUGAGGCGCGAAAGCGUGGGGAGCAAACAGGAUUAGAUACCCUGUAGUC